CCUACGGGAGGCAGCAGUGAGGAAUAUUGGUCAAUGGACGGAAGUCUGAACCAGCCAUGCCGCGUGAAGGAAGACUGCUCUAUGAGUUGUAAACUGCUUUUGUAUAAGGGUAAACUUGACUACGUGUAUUCUUCUGUAUGUACCGUACGAAUAAGGAUCGGCUAACUCCGUGCCAGCAGCCGCGGUAAUACGGAGGAUCCAAGCGUUAUCCGGAUUUAUUGGGUUUAAAGGGUGCGUAGGCGGAUUGAUAAGUUAGUGGUGAAAUGUCCCGGCUCAACCGGGGAACUGCAUCUGAUACUGGUGAUCUAGAGUGCAGAAGCGGUAGGCGGAAUGCAUGGUGUAGCGGUGAAAUGCUUAGAGAUCAUAAAGAACACCGAUUGCGAAGGCAGCUCA
rnacentral:rRNA from 1 species